rnacentral:misc_RNA from 1 species
GAUGAAGAACGCAGCGAAAUGCGAUAAGUAAUGUGAAUUGCAGAAUUCAGUGAAUCAUCGAAUCUUUGAACGCACAUUGCGCCCAUUAGUAUUCUAGUGGGCAUGCCUGUUCGAGCGUCAUUAAUUCCACUUAAGCCCUGCUUAGUGUUGGGAAUCUACUCUAGUGGUGCUACCCUGGAGCUACCCCUGAAAGGGGGCUGGCCCGGUAGCUACCCUGUAGUUCCUCAAAGAUAGUGCGCGGAGUUGCGUGGUCCUCUGAGCUUAGUAACUAUACACCUAGCUUUUGGGUGUCCCGCGGCGCCUGCCGUUUAAACCCCAUCUUUUAAUGGUUGACCUCGGAUCAGGUAGGAAUACCCGCUGAACUUAAGCAUAUCAAUAAGCGGAGGA